rnacentral:rRNA from 1 species
UACGGGGGGGGGCAAGCGUUGUUCGGAAUUACUGGGCGUAAAGGGCUCGUAGGCGGCCAACUAAGUCAGACGUGAAAUCCCCAGGCUUAACCUGGGAACUGCGUCUGAUACUGGAUGGCUUGAAUCCGGGAGAGGGAUGUGGAAUUCCGAGUGUAGAGGUGAAAUUCGUAGAUAUCUGGAGGAACACCGGUGGCGAAGGCGUACGUCCUGGGC